GGAUGUAUGGCUGAGAGGCUGAAAGCGCCCGUCUUGAAAACGGGUCGACCGCAAGGUCGCGGGAGUUCGAAUCUCUCUACAUCCG
rnacentral:tRNA from 1 species